UCAGGACGAACGCCGGCGGCGUGUUUAACACACACAAGUCGAGCGAUGAAGCUUCCUUCGGGAAGUGGAUUAGCGGCGGACGGGUGAGUCACACGUGGGUCACCUGCCUCAAAGUGGGAGAUAGCCUUCAGAAAGGAAGAUUAAUACCGCAUAAUAUGAGAGAAUCGCAUGAUUUUCAUAUCAAGAGAUUUAUUGCUAUGAGAUGGACCCGCGGCGCAUUAGCUAGUUGGUAAGGUAACGGCUCACCAAGGCAACGAUGCGUAGCCGACCUGAGAGGGUGAUCGGCCACAUUGGAACUGAGACACGGUCCAGACUCCUACGGGAGGCAGCAGUGGGGAAUAUUGCGCAAUGGGGGAAACCCUGACGCAGCAACGCCGCGUGAGUGAUGAAGGUCUUAGGAUUGUAAAGCCCUGUUUUCUGGGACGAUAAUGACGGUACCAGAGGAGGAAGCCACGGCUAACUACGUGCCAGCAGCCGCGGUAAUACGUAGGUGGCGAGCGUUGUCCGGAUUUACUGGGCGUAAAGGGUGCGUAGGCGGAUGUUUAAGUGGGAUGUGAAAUCCCCGGGCUUAACCUGGGGGCUGCAUUUCAAACUGGAUAUCUAGAGUGCAGGAGAGGAAAGCGGAAUUCCUAGUGUAGCGGUGAAAUGCGUAGAGAUUAGGAAGAACACCAGUGGCGAAGGCGGCUUUCUGGACUGUAACUGACGCUGAGGCACGAAAGCGUGGGUAGCAAACAGGAUUAGAUACCCUGGUAGUCCACGCCGUAAACGAUGGAUACUAGGUGUAGGGGGUAUCAACUCCCCUCUGUGCCGCAGUUAACACAAUAAGUAUCCCGCCCUGGGAGUCCGG
rnacentral:rRNA from 1 species